GAUGAACGCUGGUGGCGUGCCUAACACAUGCAAGUCGAGCGAUUCUCUUCGGAGAAGAGCGGCGUACGGGUGAGUAACGCGUGGGUAACCUGCCCUGUACACACGGAUAACAUACCGAAAGGUAUGCUAAUACGAGAUAACAUGCUUUUAUCGCAUGGUAGAAGUAUCAAAGCUUUUGCGGUACAGGAUGGACCCGCUUCUGAUUAGCUAGUUGGUGAGGUAACGGCUCACCAAGGCGACGAUCAGUAGCCGACCUGAGAGGGUGAUCGGCCACAUUGGAACUGAGACACGGUACAAACUCCUACGGGAGGCAGCAGUGGGGAAUAUUGCACAAUGGGCGAAAGCCUGAUGCAGCAACGACGCGUGAGCGAUGAAGGCCUUCGGGUAGUAAAGCUCUGUCCUCAAGGAAGAUAAUGACGGUACUUGAGGAGGAAGCCCCGGCUAACUACGUG
rnacentral:rRNA from 1 species